CACCCCCUGCGUGACUGGCGAUAGAACCCUCCGGGUUCAAGGUGGAGCCUCCCACCGUGAAGCGCAGGGUGCCGUUUUUGCCGUUCGCCUGGGCAGCCGUU
rfam:Burkholderia glumae BGR1 chromosome 1, complete sequence.